UAAUACCGGCGCCCCAAGUGGUAGUCGCUUUUAUUGGGCCUAAAACGUCCGUAGCCGGUCUGGUACAUUCGUGGGUAAAUCAACCAGCUCAACUGGUUGAAUUCUGCGAGCACGGCCAGACUUGGGACCGGGAGAGGUGUGGGGUACUCUCAGGGUAGGGGUAAAAUCCUGUCAUCCUGAGAGGACCACCUGUUGCGAAGGCGCCACACUAGAACGGAUCCGACGGUCAGGGACGAAGCCUAGGGGCACGAACCGGAUUAGAUACCCGGGUAGUCCUAGGUGUAAACGCUGUGGACUUGAUGUUGGGGGCGCUCCGAGCGCACUCAGUGUCGAAGCGAAGGUGAUAAGUCCACUGCCUGGGGAGUACGGUCGCAAGGCUG
rnacentral:rRNA from 1 species